rnacentral:rRNA from 1 species
ACGAGCCCCAGCUUAAAACUCAAAGGACUUGACGGUAUCCUAACCAACUAGAGGAGCCUGUUCUAUAAUCGAUAAUCCACGAUACACCUAACCCUUUCUUGCUUUCAGCCUGUAUACCUCCGUCGCAAGCUUACCAUUUGAAUGUUCAUAGUAAUGCUUAAGGGUCACACACACCAAAACGUCAGGUCAAGGUGCAGCUCAUGAAACGGAACCAAUGGGCUACAAUCUCUAACUUAGAAUAAACGAAAUACUAUAUGAAACAUAGUAUGAAGGAGGAUCUAGCAGUAAAUAAGUAAUAAUGAGCCUUAUUAAACUCGGCCCUAGGAUGUGUACAAACC